GACGAACGCUGGCGGCGUGCCUAAUACAUGCAAGUCGAACGCAGUGGGGACGGGUGAGUAACACGUGGGUACCCUCCCCAUCAGAGGGGAUAACACUUGGAAACUGGUGCUAAACCGAUACUGAUGGAUGGACCCGCGGUGCAUUUGCUAGUUGGUCAGGUAACGGCGCACAAAGGCCACGAUGCAUAGCUGACCUGAGAGGGUGAUCGGCCACACUGGGACUGAGACACGGCCCAGACUCCUACGGGAGGCAGCAGUAGGGAAUCUUCGGCAAUGGACGAAAGUCUGACCGAGCAACGCCGCGUGAGUGAAGAAGGUUUUCGGAUCGUAAAACUCUGUUGUUAGAGAAGCGGUAUCUAACCAGAAAGGGACGGCUAACUACGGGCCAGCAGGCGGGGUAAUUC
rnacentral:rRNA from 1 species